rnacentral:rRNA from 1 species
GAUGAACGCUGGCGGCGUGCCUAAUACAUGCAAGUCGAGCGAACAGACGAGGAGCUUGCUCCUCUGACGUUAGCGGCGGACGGGUGAGUAACACGUGGAUAACCUACCUAUAAGACUGAGAUAACUUCGGGAAACCGGAGCUAAUACCGGAUAACAUGUUGAACCGCAUGGUUCAACAGUGAAAUACGGUUUUGCUGUCACUUAUAGAUGGAUCCGCGCCGCAUUAGCUAGUUGGUAAGGUAACGGCUUACCAAGGCAACGAUGCGUAGCCGACCUGAGAGGGUGAUCGGCCACACUGGAACUGAGACACGGUCCAGACUCCUACGGGAGGCAGCAGUAGGGAAUCUUCCGCAAUGGUCGAAAGCCUGACGGAGCAACGCCGCGUGAGUGAAGAAGGUCUUCGGAUCGUAAAACUCUGUUAUUAGGGAAGAACAAAUGUGUAAGUAACUAUGCACGUCUUGACGGUACCUAAUCAGAAAGCCACGGCUAACUACGUG